rnacentral:rRNA from 1 species
GGAUUAGAUACCCUGGUAGUCCACGCUGUAAACGAUGAGAACUAGUCGUCGGGAAGGUCUGCCACUCGGUGACGUAGCUAACGCGUUAAGUUCUCCGCCUGGGGAGUACGCCGGCAACGGUAAAACUCAAAGUAAUUGACGGGGGCCCGCACAAGUGGUGGAGCAUGUGGUUUAAUUCGAUGCAACGCGAAGAACCUUACCUGGCCUUGACAUCCUGGGAACUUAGCAGAGAUGCUUUGGUGCCUUCGGGAACCCAGUGACAGGUGCUGCAUGGCUGUCGUCAGCUCGUGCCG